AUUUCUGUUCAUCAUUCAAUCAUUCUCGAGGAAGGAAUACCAGUGCUGGGUUAGUUGGACGAAAUUGCUUACUUUAAAGAAAAUGCUCUCAACGGCAUUGGAUGUAUUGAGCAAUUGGUCAACGAAAUAAUUUGAGCGAUUGGUUUCUCAAUGUAAGACUGCUACGACACGGUUUGAGUUAAGACCAGUCUUAAACUACUUGUCAUUGCGAAGCUUCACGUUUGUUUCCUCUUGGAAUUAUGUCAAUGGUCGCUACUUCAGGAACUCAUGCAGAGCCGCCAGCUCUGAUGGCUCCUCCUCCAAAAGUGGUGGCUCCUCCAACACCUCCUCCUCCAAGUCGGUCCUAAAAAUGGUACGCAUGAGAUUGUGUUCUGUAUGAUAAUAACUAAUUAUCAGUUUAGUCAAUUAU